rnacentral:rRNA from 1 species
UGCAUGUCUAAGUACAUGCCGUAUUAAGGCGAAACCGCGAAUGGCUCAUUAAAUCAGUUAUGGUUCCUUGGAUCGUACCUUACUACUUGGAUAACUGUGGCAAUUCUAGAGCUAAUACAUGCAGCAGAGCUCCGACCUUCGGGGACGAGCGCUUUUAUUAGACCAAAACCAAUCGGACCUCGUGUCCGUCUCUUGUGGUGACUCUGUAUAACUUUGGGCUGAUCGCACGGGCCCGUCCCGGCGACGUAUUCUUCAAGUGUCUGCCUUAUCAACUUUCGAUGGUAGGUUACGCGCCUACCAUGGUCGUAACGGGUGACGGGGAAUCAGGGUUCGAUUCCGGAGAGGGAGCCUGAGAAACGGCUACCACAUCCAAGGAAGGCAGCAGGCGCGCAAAUUACCCACUCCCAGAACGGGGAGGUAGUGACGAAAAACAACAAUACGGGACUCUUUUGAGACCCCGUAAUUGGAAUGAGUACACUCUAAAUCCUUUAACGAGGACCCAUUGGAGGGCAAGUCUGGUGCCAGCAGCUGCGGUAAUUCCAGCUCCAAUAGCGUAUAUUAAAGUUGUUGCGGUUAAAAAGCUCGUAGUUGGAUCUCAGUUCCAGACGGGCGGUCCGCCUACCGGUGGUUACCGCCCGUUCUGAACAGCCAGCCGGUUUCUCUUGAUGAUCUUCACCGGUUGUCUUGGGUGACCGGCAAGUUUACUUUGAAAAAAUUAGGGUGCUCAAUGCAGGCGUGACGCCUGAAUAAUGGUGCAUGGAAUAAUGGAAUAGGAUCUCGGUUCUAUUUUGUUGGUUUUCGGAACACGAGAUAAUGAUUAAGAGGGACAGACGGGGGCAUUCGUAUUGCGACGCUAGAGGUGAAA